ACAAGACGGUGGAGCAUGUGGUUUAAUUCGUAAGCAACGCGAAGAACCUUAACCAGGCCUUGACAUGCAGAGAACUUUCCAGAGAUGGAUUGGUGCCUUCGGGAACUCUGACACAGGUGCUGCAUGGCUGUCGUCAGCUCGUGUCGUGAGAUGUUGGGUUAAGUCCCGUAACGAGCGCAACCCUUGUCCUUAGUUACCAGCACGUUAUGGUGGGCACUCUAAGGAGACUGUCGGUGACAACCGGAGGAAGGUGGGGGAUGACGUCAAGUCAUCAUGGCCCUUACGGCCUGGGCUACACACGUGCUACAAUGGUCGGUACAAAGGGUUGCCAAGCCGCGAGGUGGAGCUAAUCCCAUAAAACCGAUCGUAGUCCGGAUCGCAGUCUGCAACUCGACUGCGUGAAGUCGGAAUCGCUAGUAAUCGUGAAUCAGAAUGUCACGGUGAAUACGUUCCCGGGCCUU
rnacentral:rRNA from 1 species